rnacentral:rRNA from 1 species
CGCGCAGGCGGUUUGAAUAGUCAGAUGUGAAAGCCCACGGCUUAACCGUGGAAGUGCAUUUGAAACUGUCAGACUUGAGUACCAGAGGGGAAAGUGGAAUUCCCGGUGUAGAGGUGAAAUUCGUAGAUAUCGGGAGGAAUACCGGUGGCGAAGGCGACUUUCUGGCUGGAUACUGACGCUGAGGCGCGAAAGCGUGGGGAGCGAACA